ACAGGCAGUGGGAAUAGCAGACACCAAUUCUUUACAAAGGUCUGCAGACCAUGAGAAGCCUUACAGUGCACCUGUUCAGGAGGUAAAUUGUAAUUAAGCUUUUUGUACCAUGCAUCAAUUGAUUAAAUGUUAACCAUUUCCUUUUUCUCCUGUAUUUCAUAAAAAAUUGCUAAUGUUGACUGGUCAAAUUCCAGAUUAUUGACAAAUCAGAAACAGAGGAUGUUUCCUGUGCGGAUUGCAUUGAAGAAGAAAAUAGCAUCAGCACCAAACAGGAGAAGUUAAAACAGGAAGAAAAUCCAGAAGUGAAGACAGAUGAAAAUUUUGACAAGAGAGAGGAAAACCAAAGCAUAAUGGUUAGAAACUGGAUGCAUUUAUCAUACAUCUUCUUAAAAAUGUGUGGAAGUUACCUAUAUCAGAAAAAAUGUUUUUUCUGUAGAUGUCAGAAGGAGCUGAAAUGGAUGAUUACAAGCAGCAUAUAAAGUACAACAUAUGUGCAGUCAUGAAUACAGAAGAGCACACUGAAGAUUCACCUGCUGGAAAACAAACAUCCGAAAAACUAGAAGAACUGGGAAAAAUUAAUAUCGAUGACAACAACAAUGUUAAUCAUGGAAGUACUGAGAUAGACCUCCCAGAAGAGGCUAAGGAAUCAAAGGGCGAAUGUGUUAUGAUGGAAAUCAAGACUCCAAUUAUAGAGGUCAGAUUAAAUAGCGCAUCUAUCUUCCAUUUCAAUAUUUUACCUGCAUGAUUUGAUCUGUUUUACUCCCUCCUGUAAGGAGGUUGCUGGCAGAAAAUGACUGAACUCAAACUGCAUAAAAUAUUCAGCACAUAGGUUAACGAGAGAAAACAAAGUAUUGAUGUAAAUAAAAAACUUGAAUCAUAUAUAGUAAAUUGUUCGCUGGAUACAGACUAACUUAAAAUAUACAGACAUUAUAAGGACAGUCAAUAAAACUACUCUAGGAAAGAUCACUAAGAUGAAAUCCCCAUCUGCCACAGCUGGCUAAAGAAAAGUCUACUGAAGCCAACCGAUGUCCAGGAUGUCAAAGAUGGAAAAGGCAAAACUAAAAAAAUAAAAAAGCUAAAAGGUACAAGCAAAAAUACAUUCUUCCAAUCUUUGCUUACUCCCCCCUGCCUCCUUCCCUGUUUACUUUACAAUGUACACAUUCAAUCAAGAUUCCUGACGGUAAAAUAUGAACUCACAGGAGGAACAAGAAGAUUUAAGAGAGAGCACUGGCAAAGAUUCCUCAAGCAACAACACAACACAUGUGCAACAAGAGAAGGGAACAACAAUAAGUGAACCUGAAAAAGGAACUUUGAAACCUUUUGGAUCAGAACAAAAACCAGCAGCAGGUCUUGAAGAGAUGAUAACAAGCAAUGGAACAAAAGAAACAGAGAAAGAAGAAAAGACUGAAAAUAUUCCAAGUGCCCAAGUAGGAUGUGAACAAGAGGAAAAAACAAGAGAUGAAUGGGAAGAAAUAACAGAACAUUUCACAUCAUUGGAAUUCGUUAAGGUUUCCGAAAAGGAGAUAGCAACGGAUAACAUGGUGAGCAAUGUAACUAAGCAGAUACAAGAGCAAGCAGCAUAUCCUUUACUUGCAUUGGAGAGGGUGGAAACUGAACCAACAGGCAGCACGGAUGUCAAUGGCACGCCCAAAGACAGCGUUACCCCACUAGCGCAACUGGGUGCAAUGGCCAAAAGUAACCAGCACAUGCAGGGAAAAUGCAAAACUUCAGAAACAGAAGAGGAUCAGGAAAAUUACAAAAACGAGAAAGGUGUGGAAUGUGAUUUAAAAGAAGCACCAGAGGAAUCCAGAUCAAGAGAGACACAAGCUAAGGCCGCACUUUCUGACCUUCUGCAUGAAUCAGUAAAAGAGACAUCAAAAAUGGAGGAAAGUUUGACUGAAGAAAAAGCGGUAAUGAUCAAUAAAGAAGACCUGCAGGCACACAAAACUGAAGAGUCUGAAGAUGAAGAAGAAAUAACUGAUAAGGAAAAAGACAAUGACAAAGAUGAGGAAGGAAGUCAACAAACAAGAGAAGAGUCAUGUUCUGAAGGUCCAGUCAUUGUAGAAGUCUCGAGAGAUGCUGAUAUCAGAGUUCCUCACAAGAAACAUCAGAAUAUAUUGUCAGGAGUUGGAUCAAAAGUCAAGCACUCAAUUGCAAAGGUGAAGAAAGCCAUCACUGGUAAAUCCUCUCAGAGCAAGCCACCAUCACCCAAAUAAGAUGAUAAAAGAUGAUCAUGACUUUACAUAAUACAAAGUCAUAAGUUCUCGAGAAAAGUAAGUGAAAAGAUUUUUCAGCAAUUCAAGUUCUCAAUAAUGUACAAAAGUUUGUCCACAAUGUGAAAUCUUAUUGUAUUACAGUAUUAGGGAUUCUUUAAUUAUCAAAUACAUGGUGGCAACUUCUCAAUGACAACUCCAGUAAUAUAAAGAUCAGAGCACUGAACCAACCCAACUACGCCACACAGUAAGUAUUAGUUUGCCCCCCACCAAAAGAAAAUUUAUAACUUACUUUCCAUGACCCACAGUUAACACUAAGAAGGAAGACCUGAAACAGUUUCUCCUAGCAAGACAACUAUCAAUACAAACGGUCUAAGCUUCCUCAAGUAUACUGUAGUAACUUCUUUUAUAACCUCUCAAAUCAAACUUAAAAGGCUAUAGUGUGUUUCCACUAUACGACAAACUCUGCCUCAAUCCUAAAUUAGUUAGCGUCGGUUACUAUUCGAUGUAAUCACUCCGCUCUAUCCAGUUGCAUUUUCUACUAGAAACAAUAAAAAAAAUUCCCAUUCGGAAAAAUAUACAGGUGGGCUCUAAACCAACAAAUGCCAUUUGAAAGCACAGCGGAUUAAAGGUAUUUCAAAAAGAGCAAGGUUUUAACAUUACGCAAGCAUUAGUUUGUUGUUAUAAGUAUCACAACUUCAACAGACAACUCCAGCUAAAAGGACAGAAUACAGCACGUGAUCCCUAACAUAACAAUGACUCUCUUUUUUUCACCAACAGGCAACAAUGACUCUGUAAUGCAGAUAAAAUAAAACAUGCCAAUUAGGAAAAUAUAAGAGCAAAAUUCAAUAGAGUGUCCAAAUUGGAACAUAUUUAGUGAUUAACAGCGUAAAACUGUAUCCUCCUAAUUCAUUUAAUUACCUAUCAAGUUGAAUCAUAAACAAAAGCAACAAUCACUCACCGCAAGCUUAUUUCUUAUGGAAGAUACUUUAAAAAACGUUUAAACCUUUCACGACAUCGAUGAAGAACUCUCUCGAAAUUGCAUUACAAACACAUACCAAAAUCUUCAUCCACCUGCAACGGAAAAAUGACCUAAGACUGAAAAAAGAAGUAGACACUAUGUAAUUCAAAACCUAAAAUAAAUGGGAGGAAACAAUACAAAAAAAAAAUUCGCACCUCUGGAGCCAAUUCUUUGAAAUCCUAGCCAUGGCGGGAUUUAAUAGCUGUUAGAUUCACACCGCACGCGGGGGCGACGCGGGG
rnacentral:lncRNA from 1 species